UACGUAGGGUGCAAGCGUUGUCCGGAAUUAUUGGGCGUAAAGAGCUUGUAGGCGGUUUGUCGCGUCUGCUGUGAAAUUUCGGGGCUCAACCCCCGAACUUGCAGUGGGUACGGGCAGACUAGAGUUCGGUAGGGGAGACUGGAAUUCCUGGUGUAGCGGUGAAAAUGCGCAGAUAUCAGGAGGAACACCGGUGGCGAAGGCGGGGUCUCUGGGCCGAUACUGACGCUGAGGAGCGAAAGCGUGGGGGAGCGAACAGG
rnacentral:rRNA from 1 species